CAGCGGGGGACGGGGCUGGGGGGGAAGGCAGGGUGGAGGAAGGAGCAGGAUUGAGGGCGGGUGGGGAGCGACUGGGCGGGGGGGAAGGGGAGCACGGAGAGGGGGGGAGCGGGGAGCUCGGUUAGGGAAGGAAGGAAGAGGGAGAGGAGGGAGAAGCAGGGUAGGGUAGGGGUAGGGGAAUGGGAGGGGGGGGCCGGGGGCGGCCGUAGGGGGGAGGGAGGGAGGGCUAGGGGGGGAGGGGAGGGGGGGGUUGGGGGGGAGGGAGUAGGGGGUGGGGGGAGGGGUGGAAGGGAGGGUUGAAAGGAGAGGCACAGAGAAAAAGAAACACAACAGAAAAAAAACGCAAAAGAAACGAAACGCAGAGAAAAAGAAAUAUAGGGCCCCGACCGGCAGCAACCCCCCCCGACCGCCGAGGAGCAAAUGGCUCCGCCGGGCCCUCCCCGCGCCUUAAAUCCCCCAAGGCCCCGCCCCGCGCAGCCGCACUGGGAUCCCUCACACCUGUGCGGGCCCCGCCCCUCGCACCUGUGCCGGCCCCGCCCCCGGGGCCCCGCCUCCCCCCCGCCCCCCGCCCGCCCAUAAAACCCGGCGGAUCCGCGCCUGUCCCGUUUUCUGCGGGGGAUGCUCAGGUCGGGAUGCGGCGGGAGCGUCGGUCGGAGCGCUGUGCGGAGAUCCGGAUUGGGGCUGCUGCUGGUGCUGCGCGGGAUACAAGGCGCUCAGGUGGGACCGGGACCGGGAUCUGGGCCUGGUGAUUUGGGUCUUGGUCCUGCCGGUAUUCGCUGUAGGAGCCGGGCCGAGCCGCUUCUUCGGCGGGCAGGGUACGGGUGCCGGGCCCGGAGGAUCGAGGUGGGAUUGGGGCUGGGAUCGGGACCGGCACCGCCGCGAGCGGGAAGAGCCGCUCCGGGACAGGCGCUGCCGCUCCGGCUGCGGCCGGCGCGGGGCCGGGUCCCGCCGGGGCUCCAGGCAUGCUCCGGCUGCGGCGGUAGGGAGCCGGUGCUGUGCCACUGCUAUGCCCGCAAGGAGGACCAGACUUCCCGGGAGGAGCUGCUGGAUCGCGGCUGGAAGCGGGAAGGACACGGAGACCGCCCGUACCGGCCCCGGAACCCCAUCGGCAUCGCCGCCGCUCACUCAGCGCCGCCGGCCCCCGGGCCCGGGCCGUGA
rnacentral:lncRNA from 1 species